GACGAACGCUGGCGGCGUGCUUAACACAUGCAAGUCGAACGAAGAGCGAUGGAAGCUUGCUUCUAUCAAUCUUAGUGGCGAACGGGUGAGUAACGCGUAAUCAACCUGCCCUUCAGAGGGGGACAACAGUUGGAAACGACUGCUAAUACCGCAUACGAUCUAAUCUCGGCAUCGAGGAAAGAUGAAAGGUGGCCUCUAUUUAUAAGCUAUCACUGAAGGAGGGGAUUGCGUCUGAUUAGCUAGUUGGAGGGGUAACGGCCCACCAAGGCGAUGAUCAGUAGCCGGUCUGAGAGGAUGAACGGCCACAUUGGGACUGAGACACGGCCCAGACUCCUACGGGAGGCAGCAGUGGGGAAUCUUCCGCAAUAGACGAAAGUCUGACGGAGCAACGCCGCGUGAGUGAUGACGGCCUUCGGGUUGUAAAGCUCUGUUAAUCGGGACGAAAGGCCUUCUUGCGAACAGUUAGAAGGAUUGACGGUACCGGAAUAGAAAGCCACGGCUAACUACGUG
rnacentral:rRNA from 1 species